rnacentral:lncRNA from 1 species
AACAAUAUUUAUUUCUAUUUGAUGCAUAAACUCUAAAUCUGGAAUAUAAAUAGCUAAUAUUUCUGAAUUUUAUCUGCAGAUGAAGGCUUGAAUCUGGAGCAUGGGAACCUCUCGAAUUCUGCAAAAGCAACAAAUAAAUGGUUUGUGAAUAUUCCAGAUUUAUAGGAAAAAUUGAUAAAAGUAACUAAUAUUUAUUUAUAAAUUUUCUCAACAGAUCAAUGGAGCACGGAAGAUCUGCAAAAGCAUCAAUCUUUCAAUGGAGCAUGGAAGAUCUACAAAAGCCACAAAAAAAUUAUUUUAGUGUAUAUUCAAGAUUGGAGCAUGGAAGAUCUACAAAAGUCCACAAAAAAAUUGUUUUAGUGUAUAUUCAAGAUUUACAGCAAGUAGGUAUAAAGAAGAAGAAACGGUAUAUUCAAGAUUUACAGCAAGUAGGCAUCAAGAAGAAGAAUUACAUAUCAUCCCUUAAAGGGUUUCCUCAUGUUAAUUUUUCAGUAAAAAAAUAAAGCAAUACAUUAUAAUCACAUGCAAAUACAUAUAUACAUUUCGAUAUUUCGAUAGGUUUCAAAUCCAAUAAUUUAUUGUAUAUUAUCUUUCAUUUUCAUUAGUUUUUCAUUUAUAUAAUAUUGAAAUAGUUUCAUUAUGUAUAUUUAUUUUCCUUUUAGCAUGCGUUCCUAUCUGUGCCAUAACUUUUCAUUUACUGCUUUUGCUUUCCAUCUAAAGCCAGACUCAUCAGAAUUGUGAAAAUAGUGUCAAAUAGCAAGUUAGAGAAAAUAUUUUAAAUCACAAAAAAUCUGAUCUAAAUUUUUUAAGAUAGUGAUGAUACUUUUUUUUCAAAAAAAGCUGCGAGUGCUUGACAGAGACCAACGGUGGUAGUGGACUUGCCUUCACAACGGAGUGAUACCCCCAACAACCACCCAAUACAGAUCUCGACUUCCUCCAUGUUCAACCAGCGCCGACACCAACACCUGAAAAUUAACUCUUUUUUAGUACAGACAAAGAGAUAAAACAAAAGUUAGAACUAUGCAACAAAAAAAGUUCGAACACAAAUAGGGAAACUGUGUCAAAAGAGUAGAUGAUUGCUAAUUAUUUAUCGAAGAUGAUGAAAGAGGAGUAUAGAGUAGAUUCAUACUAAUCUGCAAAAAAAAAGGAAAAAAAAACUAUUCUUUUAAGAACCCAUUUGUGUAGAUAUUCGUAGAUCUAACAAAAUAAUACCAUAAACACAAAAAAAAAAACUCAAAAACGAAAAAACUAAUAUGGCUACAAAAUUAGAGAUCUUAUUCGGUGUUAAUUAAAAANAAGCUCAUCGGCAGAAAAAAAAAAAUUAUUCUUUUCAAAUGAUAUUCGUAUAUCUACAAAAAUGAUACUAUAAAAACAAAAAACAAAAAAUAAUAAACGAAAAAAAAUUAGAUCUUAUGCAGAGGGAGGCGGCGAGAGUCGUCGACAGGAACUUGGGCGACGCCGUCGUUUGAAACCCGGACGUCGGCAGCUGGAUACGGGCUGUGCAGAGGGAGGCGGCGAGAGUCGUCGACAGGAACUUCACUCCGGCUCCUCCACCACCGUACGAAGAUGUGGUGGCGUUAGCGGCUGCUUCUCCUUUUUCGCUGUCAGUAUUUUCGUCCGAUUCUGAAAUUUAGGUGUUCAGAGAGAAGAGGUGAGAGGGGGCGAAAGCUAGGGUUUUAUUUUUGGGAGUGGCCAAAGAAAACGAUGCAGACGAGGGAGAAGAGAAAAAGGGAAUAUGGAGAAGGCUGGAAGAAGGUGAAUAUGGAGAAGCGGGAAUUGAAGGGGAAAUGAUGCAGACGAGGGAGGAGGAAAAGGGAAGAUCUGGAGUUUGGAAGUUUCGAGAUAGCAGCGCCGCUCAUGUGUGGUAAACCCUCAAAUGAGAGAAGUAUUAUGUACACCCUAAAAUGAGGGAGUAAUUAAUUAAUAGUUGGGCUUUAUCUAUGGGCUUAUUGUGGGCUAGCCAUUUACAC